rnacentral:rRNA from 1 species
UACGGGGGGGGCAAGCGUUGUUCGGAAUUACUGGGCGUAAAGGGCUCGUAGGCGGCCAACUAAGUCGGACGUGAAAUCCCCAGGCUCAACCUGGGAACUGCGUCUGAUACUGGAUGGCUUGAAUCCGGGAGAGGGAUGCAGAAUUCCAGGUGUAGCGGUGAAAUGCGUAGAUAUCUGGAGGAAUACCGGUGGCGAAGGCGGCAUCCUGGACCGGCAUUGACGCUGAGGAGCGAAAGCCAGGGGAGCAAACGGGG